AUUGAACGCUGGCGGCAUGCUUUACACAUGCAAGUCGAACGGUAACAGGCCGCAAGGUGCUGACGAGUGGCGAACGGGUGAGUAAUGCAUCGGAACGUGCCCAGUCGUGGGGGAUAACUGCUCGAAAGAGCAGCUAAUACCGCAUACGAUCUAUGGAUGAAAGCGGGGGACCGUAAGGCCUCGCGCGAUUGGAGCGGCCGAUGUCAGAUUAGGUAGUUGGGGGGGUAAAGGCUCACCAAGCCAACGAUCCGUAGCUGGUCUGAGAGGACGACCAGCAACACUGGGACUGAGACACGGCCCAGACUCCUACGGGAGGCAGCGGUGGGGAAUUUUGGACAAUGGGGGCAACCCUGAUCCAGCAAUGCCGCAUGCAGGAAGAAGGCCUUCGGGUUGUAAACUGCUUUUGUACGGAACGAAACGGUCUGGGUUAAUACCCUGGGCUAAUGACGGUACCGUAAGAAUAAGCACCGGCUAACUACGUGCCAGCAGCCGCCGUAACAC
rnacentral:rRNA from 1 species